rnacentral:rRNA from 1 species
CAGUCGCCGCGGUAAAACGGAGGGGGCUAGCGUUGUUCGGAAUUACUGGGCGUAAAGCGCACGUAGGCGGUUUUGUAAGUCAGAGGUGAAAGCCCGGAGCUCAACUCCGGAACUGCCUUUGAGACUGCAUCACUUGAACGUCGGAGAGGUGAGUGGAAUUCCGAGUGUAGAGGUGAAAUUCGUAGAUAUUCGGAAGAACACCAGUGGCGAAGGCGGCUCACUGGACGACUGUUGACGCUGAGGUGCGAAAGCGUGGGGAGCAAACAGGAUUAGAUACCCGCGUAGUCCCUGUCUCUUAUAC